rnacentral:rRNA from 1 species
GUACACUCCUGCGGGAGGCAGCAGUGGGGAAUAUUGGACAAUGGGCGCAAGCCUGAUCCAGCCAUGCCGCGUGAGUGAUGAAGGCCCUAGGGUUGUAAAGCUCUUUCACCGGUGAAGAUAAUGACGGUAACCGGAGAAGAAGCCCCGGCUAACUUCGUGACAGCAGCCGCGGUAAUACGAAGGGGGCUAGCGUUGUUCGGAUUUACUGGGCGUAAAGCGCACGUAGGCGGACUAUUAAGUCAGGGGUGAAAUCCCGGGGCUCAACCCCGGAACUGCCUUUGAUACUGGUAGUCUUGAGUUCGAGAGAGGUGAGUGGAAUUCCGAGUGUAGAGGUGAAAUUCGUAGAUAUUCGGAGGAACACCAGUGGCGAAGGCGGCUCACUGGCUCGAUACUGACGCUGAGGUGCGAAAGCGUGGGGAGCAAACAGGAUUAGAAACCCGGGUAGUCCCAUG